rnacentral:rRNA from 1 species
GGAAGGAUCAUUACCGAAUUGUCAACAAGGGUUGUUGCUGGUCCUCAAACGGGGACAUGUGCACGCUCUGUUUACACAUCCACUCACACCUGUGCACCCUCUGUAGUUCUAUGACUCGGCGGCUCCGUCCUCCUGUCGUGGUUCUAUGUCUUUACACACACACACACACUGUAAUAAAGUCUCAUGGAAUGCAUGCCGCGUUUAACGCAAUACAAUACAACUUUCAGCAACGGAUCUCUUGGCUCUCGCAUCGAUGAAGAACGCAGCGAAAUGCGAUAAGUAAUGUGAAUUGCAGAAUUCAGUGAAUCAUCGAAUCUUUGAACGCACCUUGCGCCCUUUGGCUAUUCCGAAGGGCAUACCUGUUUGAGUAUCAUGAACACCUCAACUCUCGUGGUUCGCCAUGAUGAGCUUGGACUUUGGGGGUCUUGCUGGCCAAUGGUCGGCUCUCCUCAAAUGAAUCAGCUUGCCAGUGUUUGGUGGCGUCGCAUGUGUGAUAACUAUCUACGCUUGUGAUUUCCACCAGGUAACCUUCAGGGAUGGAGGUUCGCUGGAGCUCAUAAAUGUCUCUCCUCGGCGAGGACAGCACUUUGAAUGUUUGAUCUCAAAUCAGGUAGGACUACCCGCUGAACUUAAGCAUAUCAAUAAGCGGAGGAAAAGAAACUAACAAGGAUUCCCCUAGUAACUGCGAGUGAAGCGGGAAGAGCUCAAAUUUAAAAUCUGGCGUGCCUCCGGUCGUCCGAGUUGUAGUCUAGAGAAGCGAUUUCUGUGUUGGACCGUGUAUAAGUCUCUUGGAACAGGGCGUCAUAGAGGGUGAGAAUCCCGUCUUUGACACGGACUACCAAUGCUUUGUGAUGCGCUCUCAAAGAGUCGAGUUGUUUGGGAAUGCAGCUCAAAAUGGGUGGUAAAUUCCAUCUAAAGCUAAAUAUAGGCGAGAGACCGAUAGCGAACA